UUUCAAAUCUGCUAGGUCCUUGCAUUCAGAGCUAAGAUGGUGCUCAAGUUCAUGGGGCUCAUGUAUUCAUUGGAUCCAGUCAUGAACCGGCGCACGAUGAAUCGGUUAGCUCUCUCCGUGGGAUGGAAUUGGUCCCAGAACGCAUAGAUAUCCCUAUUCGGGCACACGUUCGAUGCCACCGUGCAGAGGCCAAGCCCAUUAUAGGGUCCUUGACCGCAACAUGCAACCUUUGAAGUGACAAAGCCAAAGGCCUGUGGAUUGGUAACAAAG
rnacentral:misc_RNA from 1 species